AUACUCUGGUUUCUCUUCAGAUCGUAUAAAUCUUUCGCCUUUUACUAAAGAUUUCCGUGGAGAGGAACAUUUAUGAGUUUUCAACUAAUUUUUUGAGGCCUGACUUCGGUUGGGCU